rnacentral:rRNA from 1 species
UACGAAGGGGGCAAGCGUUGUUCGGAAUUACUGGGCGUAAAGGGCUCGUAGGCGGCCAACUAAGUCGGAUGUGAAAUCCCCAGGCUCAACCUGGGAACUGCAUCCGAUACUGGAUGGCUUGAAUUAGGGAGAGGGAUGCAGAAUUCCAGGUGUAGCGGUGAAAUGCGUAGAUAUCUGGAGGAAUACCGGUGGCGAAGGCGGCAUCCUGGACCGACAUUGACGCUGAGGAGCGAAAGCCAGGGGAGCAAACGGG